UUGAACGCUGGCGGCAUGCUUUACACAUGCAAGUCGAACGGUAACAGGGAGCUUGCUCUCCUGAUUAGUGGCGCACGGGUGAGUAUACCAUAGAUAAUGUACCUCUUAGUUUGGGAUAGCCACUGGAAACGGUGAUUAAUACCAGAUACUCCUUCUCGUUAUAAGACGAGUCGGGAAAGUUUUUUCGCUAAGAGAUCAGUCUAUGUCCUAUCAGCUAGUUGGUGAGGUAAUGGCUCACCAAGGCUAUGACGGGUAUCUGGUUUGAGAGGAUGAUCAGACACACUGGAACUGAGACACGGUCCAGACUCCUACGGGAGGCAGCAGUGAGGAAUAUUGCACAAUGGAGGAAACUCUGAUGCAGCAACGCCGCGUGGAGGAUGACGCAUUUCGGUGUGUAAACUCCUUUUAAGAGGGAAGAUAAUGACGGUACCUCUUGAAUAAGCACCGGCUAACUCCGU
rnacentral:rRNA from 1 species